rnacentral:rRNA from 1 species
UACGUAGGGGGCAAGCGUUGUCCGGAUUUAUUGGGCGUAAAGAGCGUGUAGGCGGCUAGGUAGGUCCGUUGUGAAAACUCGAGGCUCAACCUCGAGACGUCGAUGGAAACCAUCUGGCUAGAGUCCGGAAGAGGAGAGUGGAAUUCCUGGUGUAGCGGUGAAAUGCGUAGAGAUUUGGAGGAACACCAGUGGCGAAGGCGACUGUCUGGUCUGUAACUGACACUGAGGCGCGAAAGCGUGGGGAGCAAACAGG